rnacentral:rRNA from 1 species
AGGAGGCAGCAGUGGGGAAUCUUCCGCAAUGGACGAAAGUCUGACGGAGCAACGCCGCGUGAGUGAAGAAGGUUUUCGGAUCGUAAAACUCUGUUUUCAGGGACGAAUGUGCGAUAUGUGAAUAAUGUGUUGUAAUGACGGUACCUGACAAGAAAGCCACGGCUAACUACGUGCCAGCAGCCGCGGUAAUACGUAGGUGGCAAGCGUUGUCCGGAAUUAUUGGGCGUAAAGCGCGCGCAGGUGGGAUAAUAAGUCUGAUGUUAAAGUUCGGGGCUCAACCCCGUGAAGCAUUUGGAUACUGUUAUUCUUGAGUGCAGGAGAGGAAAGUGGAAUUCCUAGUGUAGCGGUGAAAUGCGUAGAUAUUAGGAGGAACACCAGCGGCGAAGGCGACUUUCUGGACUGUGUCUGACACUGAGGCGCGAAAGCCAGGGUAGUGAACGGGAUUAGAUACCCCGGUAGUC